GAUGAACGCUGGCGGCGUGCCUAAUACAUGCAAGUCGAGCGAACGGUCGAGAAGCUUGCUUCUCUGAUGUUAGCGGCGGACGGGUGAGUAACACGUGGAUAACCUACCUAUAAGACUGGGAUAACUUCGGGAAACCGUAGCUAAUACCGGAUAAUAUUUUGAACCGCAUGGUUCAAAAGUGAAAGACGGUCUUGCUGUCACUUAUAGAUGGAUCCGCGCUGCAUUAGCUAGUUGGUAAGGUAACGGCUUACCAAGGCAACGAUGCAUAGCCGACCUGAGAGGGUGAUCGGCCACACUGGAACUGAGACACGGUCCAGACUCCUACGGGAGGCAGCAGUAGGGAAUCUUCCGCAAUGGGCGAAAGCCUGACGGAGCAACGCCGCGUGAGUGAUGAAGGUCUUCGGAUCGUAAAACUCUGUUAUUAGGGGAGAACAUAUGUGUAAGUAACUGUGCACAUCUUGACGGUACCUAAUCAGAAAGCCACGGCUAACUACGUG
rnacentral:rRNA from 1 species